UCACCAACCUGACAGCUGUCCUCGGGGUUUCCAUCCGGAUGACUCAUCCCUCAUCAAACGGUGGCCUGUCGGAAAAUCAACACUCUCCCAUUCACACAUUCACUCCCUCUGCCAUUAAUGCAAACCUUUUCAAUAGGCAUGCAAGAAGAAACAUGCAGAGCCAAAAAGACAUAUAUACAGGGUUUCCUUUUACUGUACUCUAUUAGGGAUGCCUUUAUGCAUGGUGCACUGAUGAGGAGGGAAGCCCCUGGCAGAUACAUUUAACUGUUUAUAUGUGUGUGUAUCUUGGUGUAUCAGGAAAAUGAUCACGUGCUCUAUGUGAUGAGUCAUACACAGGCUGGAUUGCAAGGGAGCGGCUGGCUGACUGGUUAGAAGCAGUAAGGCAGGAAACUCAUCAGCUAUGCACCGCUGAGCCCAAGACUCUGAUGCACAAGUAAUUUGGAUCACAACACUGGUGGAGGAGACGCCCUUCCCUUUGUGUCCACAACGCAGAAGGCAAGCACAUGAAGAGCUGCCAGAAGAGAGACUUUGAUGAAACAGCUGUAGGCAGUGGCUGAAGAACGAUGCAACAAUGCAAAAGAUGAUGGGUAUGAGUCAUAGCCUUGUGGUAUAGAGUAUCAGUGAUCUGAGUGUCCCCCGAUGAAGAGGAAACGUGAAGAGGCAGACACGGAAACAGACUGUGACAAUGCAGCUUGGUAUCCAUGACAACCAGGCUCUGCUAGUGUGCCCAGGAACAUAACGUUUUGCUCUAAUGGGGCAAACUGGAUCAUUUUGUCCAUUUACCUGUGUACCGAGCAGUAUUUUUCCCAUCUUCGUGUUUUUUAUCAGUCGUGCACACAGUGAAAUUCAGAAAUGAGAAAGGUUUGGGGGGGAGAGGAGGCGAGGUUAUGACUGCAGCUUGUGUAUUUACUUUGUGCAGUGCUGAGAGGGUAAAUUGCUUCUUUGUGCUCUGAUGUGAGACUCGCUAGACAAAUGUGGAAAAGAUUGCCUUCUCUAACUUACUGAUUUGCACUGCAGUGGUAAAGUCAAGGUGACCGCACCCCCACAACCCCCAUAUUACUUCUGCCACUCACCCACACAUGUGCACAAUAUUAAAAAAAUCGGUGUAUUCAACUAAAACUGGCAUCUGACUUCACUAGUCUCCAGGUGUAAUUUAACAUGAUGAACCAAAGAGAAGUAUAGGAUGGACAUGAAUGCAAAUCUCUUAUGAUUCAUAAAAUCUCUACAGCUUCAAGGCAGCUAUCAGCUCAGUGUUGGCAGUUAAUCUAUUAAGCUCUGAAAGCACCAGAGUAUCAGUGCUGUUAGAAAUUUGGGACAGCAUGCACUCAUCUGUAUGACUGGCACUGGGCACACACAGUAUACAUGCAGAUGGCUUCUUACCAGAGACCAAGCACCCUCUUUUAUCUUCAAUUUCUCUCAAACAUCCUUCAAAUAUUAUCUAUGCAACUGCUGUGUAAAAAUGAUGUUGAUGCAUCACUAGCUGUCAUUUACAUGAAGCGGCCUUAAAUAGCUGUUAAAUAACUAAUCAAGCUCCCCCUACUAAAAUUUGAAGUGCAAACCCUAAUUGCAUUCUACUAUUAGUUAUUUAAAAUGACUGACAGUUUACUUAAGACGAACAGACUCACCCUAGGGUGCGCAUUAAUCAAACUUGAUUGAUGUUUACUGCUACUAUUAAAGGUUGUUUACAUCACUAAUAUGUAGUACGGAUCAUCAAAUGAAUCUUUUUUGUCAUCUUAUUAAUUCUUUAAUUACAGUUGAAUGAAACGUGUUUUCUUUUGCCUGAGCCACAAACAUAUGGUUCUUUUAGACAAAGGAGAACAUUAACUUUACAAAUGAUAACCUUUAUUUUGAGAAGUUCUACUUCUGUGAACACUGCAACCGUUGCAUGCUGUCUUUUGCAAAUCUGGAGAAGCUUUUGCCAGAUGUAAGAACAUAAAUCUACAGAUGUAAUCUUGAUGACUUCUGAGUAAUCCAGCCCUUCAUUAAAAGCUGAUGGUUGUUGAGUUUGUUUAUUAAAGAAUUAACAAAAACUAAGCUAGACUCAUGCACCAUGCCUGGGACCAGAAGUUAAGAAAAUUAGUGAAGGUUUUUAUUCUGUUCCAUGA